AUUGAGACAAUGUACAACUCUUAUCGAUAAGCCAUUGGAGGGCAAGUCUGGUGCCAGCAGCCGCGGUAAUUCCAGCUCCAAUAGCGUAUAUUAACGUUGUUGCAGUUAAAAAGCUCGUAGUUGAAGUGUGGGUGAUCGCUGUUGUGAGACUUCGGUCUCUCGACAGUAAGUCACCCCCUUCCAGUAUCCAGUAGUGGGUAUUCAGUUACUUACUAUUGUGUGUUGGUCGUUUACUGUGAGAAAAUUAGAGUGUUCAAAGCAGGCGUUUGCUUGAAUAGAUUAGCAUGGAAUAAUAAUUGAAGGCUUUCGUGUUCGAUUUGAUUGGUUUGUUCAUGGAAGCAAGGUUAAAAGGAACAGUUGGGGGUAUUCAUAUUCACUAGUUAGAGGUGAAAUUCUCGGAUUUAUGGAAGAUGAACAAGUGCGAAAGCAA
rnacentral:rRNA from 1 species